CUUCAUGUUAAGGCAUAUCAUAGAACAUAUUUUAUUUACGCACUCCCAGUUAUGGAGCAGUAAAACAUAGAAAAGAAAAUGGUAAAACUCCCACGCGUAAACAGUUAAAAAGGUGAUACAAUUCACAAUUGAGUCACCCAAUUACUUAGGAUUCAUAACUAUGUACUGCCACCAAUCCAGCAGGCCCAGCACCAGCAGAACAGGUACCUUCCUCCCUGCAAUUCAAUUCACAAAUUAUGUGUUGAAACCCUACAUUGACCACAGGACAACAUCCAAUUGCAGUAACAUCAGCAGUUUUUCUCUGCUCAUAAACUCCCUAAAAAGCAAAGAUUACAUUCCAGUUCCUGCUUGGCCUUGAAGCAAAUCAUUAUCCAAAGAACUAAAUCCAAGAGGAAAGUUAACAUUGCCCAAACUUCACAAUAAUGUGACAGAAUACAUUGUGAAACAUACUUCUUGCAAAUCUAGGUAUUCUACAUUUCUAAAUC
rnacentral:lncRNA from 1 species